rnacentral:rRNA from 1 species
UGGGGAAUCUUGCACAAUGGGGGAAACCCUGAUGCAGCGACGCCGCGUGAGCGAUGAAGGUUUUCGAAUCGUAAAGCCCUGUCUUAUGGGAAGAUAAUGACGGUACCAUAGGAGGAAGCCCCGGCUAACUACGUGCCAGCAGCCGCGGUAAUACGUAGGGGGCGAGCGUUGUCCGGAAUUACUGGGCGUAAAGGGUUCGCAGGCGGCAUGACAAGUCCGAUGUAAAAGGCGAAAGCUCAACUUUCGUAAGCAUCGGAAACUGUCAAGCUUGGGUGAAGGGGAGGCAAGUGGAAUUCCUAGUGUAGCGGUGGAAUGCGUAGAUAUUAGGAGGAAUACCGGAAGAGAAGGCGACUUGCUGGACUUCAACUGACGCUGAGGAACGAAAGCGUGGGUAGCAAACAGG